rnacentral:rRNA from 1 species
CCUACGGGCGGCAGCAGUGGGGAAUAUUGCACAAUGGGGGAAACCCUGAUGCAGCGACGCCGCGUGAGUGAAGAAGUAAUUCGUUAUGUAAAGCUCUAUCAGCAGGGAAGAAACUGACGGUACCUGAGUAAGAAGCCCCGGCUAACUACAUGCCAGCAGCCGCGGUACUACGUAGGGGGCAAGCGUUAUCCGGAUUUACUGGGGGUAAAGGGAGCGUAGACGGCAGUGCAAGUCUGGAGUGAAAGGCGGGGGGUCAACCCCCGGACUGCUCUGGAAACUGUACGGCUGGAGUGCAGGAGAGGUAAGUGGAAUUCCUAGUGUAGCGGUGAAAUGCGUAGAUAUUAGGAGGAACACCAGUUGCGAAGGCGGCUUACUGGACUGUAACUGACGUUGAGGCUCGAAAGCGUGGGGAGCAAACAGGAUUAGAUACCCGGGUAGUC